UACGUAGGGUGCAAGCGUUUGUCCGGAAUUAUUGGGCGUAAAGAGCUCGUAGGUGGUCUGUCGCGUCGGCUGUGAAAACUCGGGGCUCAACCCCGAGCCUGCAGUCGAUACGGGCAGACUAGAGUGCUGUAGGGGAGACUGGAAUUCCUGGUGUAGCGGUGAAAUGCGCAGAUAUCAGGAGGAACACCGGUGGCGAAGGCGGGUCUCUGGGCAGUAACUGACGCUGGAGGAGCGAAAGCGUGGGGAGCGAACAGG
rnacentral:rRNA from 1 species